AUGAAAACCUAAACCACACUUUUUCAGCGACUCCACGGCUCGCAACCAUCUGGCUCCGGAGCGAUUACAACCCUUCAGAUCAAACGCGCCACUAUCUUUCUUCUAAGGAAGGAGCAAAUUUAGCGGGGCUGCCCUGAUCAAACGCAGAAAAGGGGAGGGCACGGAAUGGAAGCCUGUAAGACCAGGAUAACACAGCCUCUGAAGAAUGGAAGACUAGCAGCUGAUCACUUCAAGAGUAAAGAAUGAGAAGAACAGAACACUCAACACUGCUUUGGAGCUGUAGCUGAUCAGACACCUAAGGAAUUCAGUCAGCAGAGUUCUGUACAGGCUGAUCCACAUCAGGCCAGGCACAAGAUCAAGGCUUUAGCUUCAGUCACUGCUGCCGUCCAUCCAGUUGGCUUCUUUGAGCUCCAUCUCUUCAAUCAUGAAAAAGUAUUCAUGUACAACAUUUGCUUUUGUUUGUUAUUGUUCUUUUGUUUUUCAUUGUCCUCCUUUCCGAAGCCUUCCUCCAAUCAAUGGGAAACCAGAAACAUGUUGUAGGAGGCAACAAUGAGCAACAAACUUAAAACUGUCAGAAAUAUUAGUUAUACAGAGGGUGUAGGCUGAAAAUUGUUUAGAUAAUGUAUUUGGCAAACAAAGCCAAAAAUAUAAUGCUUUUGAACACAGAAUACGUUUAUACAAAAUGGGACUGAUUCCCAAAGAACUUGGAAACAGAAAAAAAGAUGGAAAUGUAAU